rnacentral:lncRNA from 1 species
CAUGUAAUGCCGCAUCCUCCGUGGAUAAGAAUUUACCGUUGCUUGUCCGAUCUCGGUCCAUCCCUCCCGUUCAAAGAAACCGAGGUGGAGAAUUACGAUGUACUCAAAUCUAGCGGAAUUUUCUUUCUUUCCUCAUUUUAAUCUACUCUUUUUUUUUCCAGAAAUAAAAUCUAACGGUACACGUGUUGUCUACUGGCUACUGCUGUCUUUUUAGCUAAUCACCGGGAUUUCUUCUUGGUGAGCAAAUCUGUAGUUCUUUCUUGUAUAUAAUAAAGAAAUACCCAAAUAUUAAGUUUCUAGAAAUAGC